AGAAGCUAGGGUUUUAAGUAUUCCAUUCAGACGAUGGCAAGAAAAGAACAUCAACAACAAUCAUCAACCAUCUUAGCUAGAGAAGUAGAGCCUAAAGAUGCCAUGAUAGGGCAGGGCGGGGCGACGCAUGCAGACAUUUUGGAUUGGCCACAACAUAUGUUUGGUUUUCAGGUAGUUGAUAAGCUUCAAUGGUAAUGGAGAUGGUGACACGGUAGGGAGUUAUUUUUGUGUGGUCCCUUUGUUCAAUGGAUUUUGACAAAGGUUGUCUCUGUUUUUGUUCACUCAUGAUAGUUGAUCAUGACCGUGGGUUGCAUCAAGUACAGAAGGAGCCCUCUGUGUUUGGGAUUAGUUAUUUAAACUCUUGAUUGAUAGCUUGUUGAAUUCUUAAUAAGAGACCUGUUAUAUGUGUGAAGAUUAAAGCUAAAUAAUCAUUGACGGCUCAAGUUUUUAAAUAAUAUAUAUCAUUUCAAGCGUCAAGAAUAAUAAAGAACAACUAGGCCUGUCGCUGUGGCUGUGUUUCUUAAAGCUUUCGAAGCGACUUGGCGCGUGUUCGAGACUCCGCUCUCACGUCCUUUGGGAACAAGGUGGAGAAGCUUUGGGAUCUUUCAAACAUUACUGUGAAUAAGCAAGCUGUGUUUGGUGACAACAGUUCUU
rnacentral:lncRNA from 1 species